rnacentral:rRNA from 1 species
AGAGUUUGAUCCUGGCUCAGAUUGAACGCUGGCGGCAUGCCUUACACAUGCAAGUCGAACGGCAGCACGAGAGCUUGCUCUUGGUGGCGAGUGGCGAACGGGUGAGUAAUAUAUCGGAACGUACCCUAGAGUGGGGGAUAACGUAGCGAAAGUUACGCUAAUACCGCAUACGAUCUAUGGAUGAAAGUGGGGGAUCGCAAGACCUCAUGCUCAUGGAGCGGCCGAUAUCUGAUUAGCUAGUUGGUGGGGUAAAAGCUCACCAAGGCGACGAUCAGUAGCUGGUCUGAGAGGACGACCAGCCACACUGGAACUGAGACACGGUCCAGACUCCUACGGGAGGCAGCAGUGGGGAAUUUUGGACAAUGGGCGCAAGCCUGAUCCAGCAAUGCCGCGUGAGUGAAGAAGGCCUUCGGGUUGUAAAGCUCUUUUGUCAGGGAAGAAACGGUGGACUCUAAUACAGAUCACUAAUGACGGUACCUGAAGAAUAAGCACCGGCUAACUACGUGCCAGCAGCCGCGGUAAUACGUAGGGUGCAAGCGUUAAUCGGAAUUACUGGGCGUAAAGCGUGCGCAGGCGGUUGUGCAAGACAGAUGUGAAAUCCCCGGGCUCAACCUGGGAAUUGCAUUUGUGACUGCACGGCUAGAGUGUGUCAGAGGGGGGUAGAAUUCCACGUGUAGCAGUGAAAUGCGUAGAGAUGUGGAGGAAUACCGAUGGCGAAGGCAGCCCCCUGGGAUAACACUGACGCUCAUGCACGAAAGCGUGGGGAGCAAACAGGAUUAGAUACCCUGGUAGUCCACGCCCUAAACGAUGUCUACUAGUUGUCGGGUCUUAAUUGACUUGGUAACGCAGCUAACGCGUGAAGUAGACCGCCUGGGGAGUACGGUCGCAAGAUUAAAACUCAAAGGAAUUGACGGGGACCCGCACAAGCGGUGGAUGAUGUGGAUUAAUUCGAUGCAACGCGAAAAACCUUACCUACCCUUGACAUGUCUGGAAUCCUUGAGAGAUCAGGGAGUGCUCGAAAGAGAAUCAGAACACAGGUGCUGCAUGGCUGUCGUCAGCUCGUGUCGUGAGAUGUUGGGUUAAGUCCCGCAACGAGCGCAACCCUUGUCAUUAGUUGCUACGAAAGGGCACUCUAAUGAGACUGCCGGUGACAAACCGGAGGAAGGUGGGGAUGACGUCAAGUCCUCAUGGCCCUUAUGGGUAGGGCUUCACACGUCAUACAAUGGUACAUACAGAGGGCCGCCAACCCGCGAGGGGGAGCUAAUCCCAGAAAGUGUAUCGUAGUCCGGAUUGUAGUCUGCAACUCGACUACAUGAAGUUGGAAUCGCUAGUAAUCGCGGAUCAGCAUGUCGCGGUGAAUACGUUCCCGGGUCUUGUACACACCGCCCGUCACACCAUGGGAGCGGGUUUCACCAGAAGUGGGUAGCCUAACCGCAAGGAGGGCGCUCACCACGGUGGGAUUCGUGACUGGGGUGAAGUCGUAACAAGGUA